UACGUAGGGUGCAAGCGUUGUCCGGAAUUAUUGGGCGUAAAGAGCUCGUAGGCGGUCUGUUGCGUCGGCUGUGAAAACCCGGGGCUCAACUCCGGGCCUGCAGCCGAUACGGGCAGACUAGAGUUCGGCAGGGGAGACUGGAAUUCCUGGUGUAGCGGUGAAAUGCGCAGAUAUCAGGAGGAACACCGGUGGCGAAGGCGGGUCUCUGGGCCGAUACUGACGCUGAGGAGCGAAGGCCAGGGGAGCAAACGGG
rnacentral:rRNA from 1 species